CAGCAACACCCACUUUGGCACUGGGAAGCGAGCGGGCGGCGAGGGGUGUUAACCCGUGAGGAGCUGGGGGCGACGCAGGGCCGGCCCGAGGGCUAGUAGGCGAGAUGACGCCUGCCGGGACAGGGGCACCCAAGCCACCUUUCUCUUGUCCUGGGCAAACUGAACUGCUGACCUGUCCAGAGUUUAUCUCCCGCCCCUAACCUCAGGGACAAACUCCCUGUUCGAUGACCAAGGCUGCAGCCUCGAAGGUCUGAAGGAGGUCAGGAGAGGUACGAAGAACGGCAUGACAGAGACAGGACCCAAAGGCCGGGCCCCGGACCCUUCGCUUCCCGCCCGAGCCACUGGGGGCGUCGGCCGGGGUUGCGGCUAGAGCUGGGACAGCACGGGGCAGCUCGCCUGCCUCCGCCGCCGUGGGACGCGGGAGCGCCGGAAGGUCCCCUGGGGGCGCGCGCCCUCUAGUGGACUAGGCCGCGUCCUUGGCUAUCCUGCGGCCGGCAGAGACCUGUCGCUGCUAGCCGCCUUAGCUCCUUGAUCUUAAUCCCCUUCCUGCUGCGUCAGGAUCGAGCCUAGGCCUGAGGCGUUGAUGGCGGCGGAUCCUACAAGAGGUGUCUUCUCUUCCACAGGGGAACAAACAUGGAGGAUCUGGAAUAAGGUCACUCAAGGAGACAGCGUGUGUCCAAGAAGUGAAUGAAAUCCAGUCCUCCAGCCUGCGGCUCAGAUCCAUUUCCUAGAUUCCCAUCCAGCUCCUCACUCCCUCGGGAUUCGAUGAGCUUCUGAUUGAUGCACUGCGAACACUUAUGGAGUCUACUGUGAUCCAAGCGCCGUGCUAAGCAUGCUACGUGAAUUGGCUCCUUUAACCAAAGAAAGGAGGUGUUGUGAUUUCCAUGUACACAAAGGAGGAAACUGAGGCUGGGAAUAGUUACUGGCUUGCCCACGAUCACACAGCUGAUAAGCAGCUGAGGAAGUGUUCCAACCUUGGUCGUCUGCCACCUGAGCCCAGGCUUCUAAGACUGCACCACGUUGCCUUCACUCUGGGCUUGAGCCACGGCAGCCCUCCUGACAAUUGAGUGGUACCUUUUCCAGCCAUCUCUGCAGCUGUCCCCACCCAAGACUCUCCACCGCACGUUCCCCAGCCUCUUCCCUGACGGCUAGCCCACCACUCAAUUCCCAGGGGAUGGGUAUCAGAACUUUCUGUUCCCCUCUCCCUUCCCUGCUCAGGAAAAGAAGAGGAGCUAACCGUUUCCAGCAAGGCCCCUGACUCACCACGUGUCACUUCCCUACCCCUGAUUCCCGCUUCCCCCCUAAAGAGGCACAAAAUGUUGCUAAGCCAACUAACCCACCCCUCGGGUCUGGGGAGGGAAAUCAUCUCUGGAAACCCUGCAGAGAGAGUCCCAAGGGGCUGCUAAAAAGAUUCCAGUGGGGAAAGGUUUGCCGGGACACGUGCACCAUGAGAGGGGAUGGCAGUCUGCUAGACACUCGAGGCAACCUCAUUGCUUACCCAUGUCUUGUAAUAACGCCGGCAACCAGAGAGCUACCAGAACCUGAACUAACUUGGUCAAUAAGGACCAAAAACAAGGACCGCAUUUCUGCUCCCUUUGCUGAGACCCAGACUCUGGACAGAAUUCCAGGGAUUUUUCUUCCUUGGAAGUGACUGGACCUCCAGUCCUGAAUUCCUCUCCCCAGGAGAGCUUGUUACCCUGCUUAGAACAAAUAACACAUUUCCUGGUUAAUCAGUGGGCGGAAGAGCUGAAGGAAGGUUGAUUGGGCCCCCAGCCUUCCAGAUGGGAGCAGCUCACGGGCUCAGACAUCCUUGUCCAGAGACUGGGCAGCUGGGACCCUGCACCGUGCAGCCUCAGCCUCCAGUCUGGAAGGUAGAGGCUGUAUGAAAAGGCGCCAGUUCCCUCCUGCUCAAGGCCUCCAAGGCCCACAGGGGCUGCCAAGACCACGCCACCUCAGACGCCGUGGCCUGGCAACCCCCCAGUACUCACAGCCACCCUGCUCUGGUCUGCCAGUACUGUCCCCUCCGGGUGCAGUGAAUGUUUCUGUCUUCGGUGAGCUCAGCUCUCAGCUAUGCUUGGCUUCUAUUUUCCCAUCUGAAAAUAGAGAUAAUGAUGCUUUUCUUGCCACCCCACCUUCAGGGCAAAUAGAUAACCAGCCCUAUCUACCCUGUGAUGGGAGGGGUUCAAUGACUGCUACUUUCAUUUGCCAGUUGAUAUUUCUGGAGCUUUUGAAAGGUACCAGGCACUGUGCUAAGUGUUUUACAGUCAUUCUCCUUUAAUCCUCAUAAUAACCUUCUGAAGAAAGUACUAUUAUUUCAUCAUGUAGCAGAAGAGGGAAUGAAAGCUCAGAGAGGUAAAAUGACUUACCCACAAUCACAAAGCUAGUACUUGGUUACACUAGGAUUCACUCCUGGUUUUUCUGGUUCCAGACACUAUACACAGGCCAGCUUCCAGAGGAGCAUUUCUCAGGAAUCGCACCUCUGGCUGCUGAUGUCUGGGAACCAGAAGCAUUCACAGCCUUUUGUGGUGUGGUGUGAGGUGUUUGGUGCUGAUGGACACAUGAAAUGGCUGUCACGAGCUGGCCCCCAUCAAGCACAUCCCACUCUUCUCAGGCCUAUUUACAGCUAGGGGUCUAUUUUAGGUCAAGGGCAGGCAAAAGUCAUCAUGGGGAGUUUCACUGAAUCUGAUUCCCUCUCACCAAGGGGAAGGAAGGAAAUAAGCUUACCCUACAUCAAGUCGUUCUCCAUUUCUGAGUAAGGCCCAUCUCAACCCUCAGCUUCUCUCUUUAGAGCACAGACAGAGCAUCUACGUGGCCCUGUGAGGUAGGCAUCGUAAUUUCCACUUCACAGACUCAGAGGGGUGAAGUCUCUUGCUCAAGGUCAUACAGCCAGGAGUCGAGCCAGGAUUCAACUAAAAGGUCUGACUGGCUCCAAAGUCCGUGCUGUUUCCACUACAGCACACUGCACUCACUCCAGGAUGUCCUGCAAUGAUGUGGAAUGGCAGCUCUUCAAAAUAACUGAUUUCAUUCCGUUUCCCUUCAUUUCCAAUCCUUGAUACAAAGGUGGGCUGACCUGAAAGCUCUGUGCAUUUAGCUAAAGCUCAGACCACAUUUCCUAUUUACCUGCAUAAAUCCCUUCAGCUUCUGGCUGGAGUGGAAUCCUCUAGAACUCCUGGGGACUGAAGCAUAACUUCUCCCCGAGCUGAGUCUCUGAAGACCUGAGCAGGAAAACGACGUGAACAGCCUGGAAGGUCUCCUUCUUUUAAUUCCCCCCGUAAGACCACAGGGGUUUCAGGUGCUCUCCUGGCGAUGAGGGAGUUAUUCAGAUAGGGACAGAUUACACACUGUAUUAUCCUUUCCAAAUGCCCAGGGAGAAAGCCCUGUGGGCUGAAGGACGAUGCAGCCCUAUCCUGGAUUCUGGAACGGCUGGGCAGGGAUUUGAGGACAAGUUGAGCAGGAAACAAUUUUCCUCAGCUGUUGCUGAGGUCUCCCAGCCUGUCUCCAUCUGGCUUCCUGCUGGGACACGGCAGCAUCCCUCACAGCCCAAGGGAUAGGGGUUUGGGGGGACAGAGCACAGGGGCUGCCGUAGGGUCUUUCCCAGAAUAAGCCCAUAAGCAGCUCACUCUUGAUCAAGACAAAGAAAGAGGGGUGACACCUUCUGCCACCACCUUCUGAUGUCCAUUUUCCCCUAAUUAUACGCUGAGAAUCGGGAUACUCAGUGAGGUUUUCCCUGGUGCCCUGCAUCCCCUCUCUCUAGGACCCCAAGCCCUUAGGGACAGGCCCAAACCCCCAGACUCCCCAGGACAGGGUACAGACACCAGGCUUCGGUGGGGUGGGGGGCGGGUAGGAGGAGGUGCAGAUCCCAGUGGGCCCCAGCCAGUCUACAUGACUCAUUCCUUGUUUCCGUCCACUCUGGUCUGAGUGCUUUGGCCCAGGGGCCUCGGGGAGGUUGUAACACAGGCUGGCCCCUCGCCCAUCGGGACUCAGCAGACAAAAAUUAAAGAUCUCACUCCUCAGGAACUCACACAGACAGCAGAGGCAUGCUCUGUGCUCUGCCUCACCAGACCAGACCUCAGGCCGGAGGGGGCUGAUGGCCAAGGGAGGGAGGAAAGGCAUCUCUGGCCCCUCCCCUCCUCCUCACCCUCCACCUCCAGUCCUGAAGCCCUGGCCACCACGCACUUUCUUCUCACUCCUGCUGAGGCCCUGGCGUGAAGAUGCUGGUGCCACCAGCACCUCCUAGGCAGCACUCCAACCCCCCCCCCACCUCUGCCCGAAGACAGCAGUGAGGGAGAAACAGACUUGUAAACAACGAAUCAUACAUUUUUCUGGUUGCACAGGUUUGAUGAGACCAAAGCCUGCUCAACAGUCUUCAAUGGCUCCCCACUACCUCACAAAUCAAGCCCAGACUUCUUACUGGCCCCGCACCCAAGCGGGUCUCAUACCCUUCCCCUCCUGUUUGCAGAUACUCAACACAGUCCCACUCACCCAGAAUUCCCCCCAGUUUCCCCACCCACGUCCCCUUACCCAGAUUCCUCGGCUCACACCAUUUUCGUCACCUGGGAUGUUCUUCCCACCCCUGCCUGCCUGUCCUUUAUUUCCCAUCUGAAAACUCCCACUUCUUCCAAGAAGACUUCCUAGAACCCCACCGCCAAGUCCAGAAAGCUCGCUCCCUCCACUGAACUCCUGUACCGCCCUCUGCCCCGCAUGACUAGUCCACCACUGCAGGUCCCGGAGAAGUGGGAAAUCCACGGGGCUUUGGAGUGCCACUCGGCACCAUCAUUCACCAGCUGUGUGUCUUUGGCUAAAGUGACUUAACCUCUUUGAGCCAGUUUCCUCACCAGCAAGAGCCUGUCAUAGUAGUCCUUUAAAGCACAGUGCCUAGAUACAACUGUAUUUACCAGCACAACACUCCGGACCACAGCCGACUGGACCAGGGAUGAACACAUGAUCCGGGGCAGCCUUUACGUUGGCUGGUCAGUGAGCUAAGACUUCUGUACCUAAGACUUCUGUGGUCUGAUUUGAAUGCAUACGUCAUUGGUUACUAGCCAAAUAAGAUCCUCUCUUGAAAAUUUGAACUAAGCCACUUGAUUUUGAAAGCCAAGCCCUGGGAUUAAAACAACAGGUAAGUCCUCAUUCCCGAGAGCUCACAGUCGAAGGGGGUCCAUAUAACCAGAGAACAAUAAAGCCGAAGAGGUAUAAUGACUUGCCUGGGGUCACUACGCAGCUGGACAGUAACACAGAGAGGGCUGAAGCUCAGGUCUCUGGACCUGAAUUUGGUCCAGGGUAGUGGGCUUCUCUGACGGGCUCAAAAGGCAGUGGCCCUGAGCUGAUUGCCUGAAGAAGACCAAGGCUCCACCGGGCCCUGCAUCAACCUGUUCUGGGCAGCUUGGGAACAAGGCAGUCCUUCAAGGACAAGGUCAGAUCACAGCAGCGGGCACAGACCCUGGUUCUGGUCCUGCAUAUGCCCCCAGUGUCUCCCUGUUGUGCCCCUGGCCCUCCCCGGACUUCAGUUUCCUCAUGUAUAAAAGAGAGGGUUUUACUGGAUGAACUCAAAUUCCCUGUCAACACUAAGAUUUUGAUCUGAGGAGCAGACAGACAAGGGAUGGGCGUGGAUCCCACAGAAUGUGAACCCUGGAGAGGACCCCCCUGAGAGGGCAGCCAGCCCAUUCCUUCAAUUCACGGUUGAGGAAACUGAGGCCCGAAGCUGGAGAGAUGCUUGUCCAAGGUCACAUGACUGGCUACUGGCAGCCCCAGCACUUGAACCAGGGUCUCCUGACUCCCAGGCCUCUCAACUCUUUCUCUUUCAACUCCCUCAAGAAGCUGGGAGCUAUUUGGCUGUCUGGGCCAGGGAAGCCAAGAGUGGCUGUGCA